CACACUUCAGCUCUGAUUUCGGGUAGUAGCCCAUUCACAAACGUGUUUUCCAUUACUUUAUUAGGGAGAUCUUUCAACAGGGCGGCCAAAACCUCAAACGCUCUCCUAAAUUCCACCAUCUAUCCUUCCUGUCUCACCGCCAAAAACUUCUCACAAAGGCUGCCUUCCUGGGUUGGCCGGAAACACAGUAAGAGUUGUUUCCGAAACUCCUGCCAGUCCUGGAAUGCCCUCCUUGCCUCUGUCCAUUGGAGCCACGAGAGAGCAUCGCCUUCCAAACUUACUCCAAUUGCUCCCAUUUUCUCUUGCUUCGUUAGUCCAUUGACCUCAAAGUACCUUUUCGCACGGAAGAGCCACCCAUCCGGAUCUUCCCCAUUGAAAAUGGGCAUUUCAAGCUUCCUCACUCGAUGCCAACUGUCCCCUCCUUCCUGGUCUGUGGUGAUGGAUAUUUCCCCUUGGCUGGCUUCCCCAGAGCCUUCCGGCCAUUUUUCCCGCUCCAUCGUUCGUUGAUUGCUUACAUCUCCCAGAGGUAUGUCUCGAGGUAUCUACCCUCUGGUAAUACUUCCUAACCCAUUGCCUUCCGAUCUCUCAUUUGACCCCGACUUCGGAUUUGAGAGGGUUGUUACUGUCCUUACUAAUUUCUUCCAAGGCCUGCAUCAUUUUGUCUAUGUUUUGAGCCAAGUGUUCCAUCAACCGCUCCAAGCCUGGUAGCCUUUGCAGCUCGGUCUUUACUUCUUCCAACUUUUUUUCCAUGGUUUCUAUCCUGCCUUCUGUUCUUUUUCUAAGCCAUCGAGAUGCACGUGCUCUGAUACCAAUAUAAUAGUAGUCAAACUAUAAAAGAAUUGAGUGAGAUAUUAAAAUAGGCCCUUGUUUGAGCUACAUUAUUUUUCUUAAAAUACAUUUUUGAAUAGUGCAUUGAUGGAAAAUGUGUGGUUAAAAAAUAAAGAAAAAUUUUGGAUUUACGUGUAAUAGUAUUUUAUUAAAAACUGUGUGGUUGAAAUGAUGUUAAAUCACUAUUUAAAAAUGUAUUUUUUUGAAAAAUGUGGCUCAAACAUAGCCUAGAUCUUUUAUUAAAGAAGAACUUAAGAGAAUUACAUAAAUGGGACUAAUACUCGACCUCUUUCCUCACUUGUUAAUUGCCUGCCUUCUCUACUAGCUUCUACCUCUAUUUAUAGCUAAUUUCCUAACUGUUUCUCCCUUAGUACAUGCUUUCCAAUAGAUUCUGUUUUCCCUCCCUUCUUGAUCCUUCUAGAGUAGGUGAAGUGUAUCGGUGGCUUAUUAGAGAACUCCCCAAUUUUCCUCUCAAUUAAGGUGAUCUAUGUUACCGAUACGCAUUUGUAAGUUGUAACGUUCUUAGAUAAGAUAGUUGGACUUACUUAGCCUUGACCCAUUAUCUACAUAAUAGUUCCAUUUUGUAUGUGACGGUAGGCAUGUGCAUUCUGUCAUUGCAAAUGUUCCCAUCAUUUGGGAAGCCAUAUCUACACCAAGGGGUGUGUUCAAUUGGGACUUUUAUAAAAAAAAUUAUAGAUUUUUUUUAAAUGGGUGACUUUUGUGGAUUUUGUGGACUUUUAAGUAACUUUUGUCGAUUUAUUAAGAAUUAAUCAAAGUCAACCAACAACCAUGGACUUAUAUGAAUUUCUGUAGACUUUCCCUAAAGACUUUUUGAAAGAAAAAUGUUGAACAUAUGUAACAUAAUAUUUUAAAAACAUUUCAUAUGUCAAAAUCAGACACAACAUAUGUAAUUAACCUUGUGGAUUGAGCCAUCGGUUCAAGUCAACGAUGUUUGGAUGGCCUAACCCGUUCCAUUUCAAUCCAUUGGAACAACUAUAAAACCAACCAAGCCAUUAAUAACACAUACCAUAAUCAAAAUCACCUUUUGAUUUAGUUGUACAACUAUAUGUUUAAUGCCAUUAAUUUCUGUCUCCAAUGUUCUUGCAUAAAUGUCGUCCCCUAAUGCAAUUGAGUGUAACCUAAGUUUUUUCAAUUUCAAUCUUUUUUUUUUUUUUUAAAGAUAGGAAAGUAUAUGAUCUUCUAUCGUUGUCUUGCUCAACACACCAAUACUAUCGCAUCAUCCACAAGUGGUAGAAUCAACCGUAAGUUUUAUUAGUUCAUUGUUUUCUUUUGACGUCCAUUUUUCAAAUUUUUUCAUACCUCUCUUCUGAACUAUCUUUUCCUAGUACUAAUUCUCCCAUUAAUGCUUGCCAGAUUGUACAUGCAAUGUAUUAAAUAUUUGAUAAAAACAUAAAAAAGUUAAUCUACAAACAGUAUAUGCACAUACAUAUAAGAGAGAAAACACCUAAUUAAAAGUUAAUGUAUUCAAUUAAUAGAAAAUUAAAGGUUAAAUAUUUGAAAGAAGCAAGGUAUAUUUGACAACAAGGUUAUAUACUUAAGGUAGGAAGGUUAACAUUUAACUAUAAAUAAUUAAUAAAAAGAACCUAAUAAAAGUAUAUGCAAUUUUAGAUGGAAAAUUGCACAAACAUCAUAAUGAAAUCUGGCAUAUGCAAUUCACUCGGCAUAUGAAAUUGGGCAUGCAAUCUGCUAUUUAAUUCAUUUAAAACAGCAAAUUCAAUUUAAUAUUGAAUAAAGUUCAAAAGUUCAAUUUAAGUCUAGUUGUUGGCCUUGAGAUGUAGUGGUGGUGGUUUUGAUUUUUAGAGGUGAUGUAGAUGUGGUGGUGGAAAUCGACUCAUGACUGUGGAAAGAUGGUGGUCCGAUGGUUGUAGUCUGCGAUUCCAUGUGGCAGCAGGUGAAUGUGGUGUUAAUGGUUGUGGAUUGGGGCAUUUGUUCAAAAAUUGUUGCAUCUCCGUGGCCGGAGUUGGUGGCGUCGUGCCUCUGUUGGCGUCGCUCGGGGUGGAGGUGCUGGUGGUGGUGUGGUAGGUGAAGAUGGGGUGUUGCGAAGCAAUGUUUUUGAGGUGAUGGUGUUUGUGGUGGUGUUGCAAGGUGGGUGGAGGGUAUGGUACGGUGGUGAUGGGUUUUCUGAGGUGCUAGGUAUUAUUGGAGGUUUGUGAUGGUGUUUGUUGGUGGUGGAGGUGGGUGGAGGUGCUGUCUGGAGCGGUGGAUAUGGCAGUGGUGAUUUUGGUGGUCGUGGUUGGGUCGGUGGUUGUGGUCACAAGUGUUGGUCACAAAUUAUUUGAUUAACUGUGACCAAUUAAAUUGGUUAAUUUGUGAUCAAUAAACAAUAUGUGAUCAAUAAGUAAUAUACACAGUGACUAAUAAAUAAUCUGUGACCUAAAAAUUAUUAAUCUGUGACCGAUAAUUUGUGAUUGUAUAAUAAACUGUGACUUAUAAUAUUCAUGAUUUGUGACCAAUGAAUAAAUAGUAACUCAUAAAUUUUUUGAUUUGUGACUGAUGAAUAAACUGUGACUUAUAAAAAUUUUGAAUUGUGACCGUAAAAUAAUUUGUAACAUAAAAUUUCUGAUUUGUGAACGAAAAUUAAUAAGUGACUAAUUGAAUCAUUAAUUUGUUACCCAAUUGUAUAAAUCUAUGACAUAAAUAUAAUUAAUUAAUUAAAUCAUAAAUAAAUUUUAAUAAAAAUCUUAUUUUUGAAAUUUGAAACUUGUUUUCUUAAUUUUGAAAUGUGUGAUAUUUAAAAUCUUAUUUCUGAAAUUUUCCCUGUAUUUUGGCCUUUUCUCCUCUCAAUCUUAAACAAUCGUCUCCUUCGACAGCUCACAAAAACUGCCCAAGAAAUCAUCACAUUCUCCUUAAUCACUAUCCCUCUAUGCAGAAUACUUUUAUACUUCCCACUGGAUCAAAUCUUAAUGGUAUCUCCAAAGUGCGUGAUAAUGGAAUUAGCUACACAUUUUGCAGUUAUCCAUUUGCCCUAAUGGAAGAGUUGUGCCUGGCACCACGUUGUGGAGGAUGAAAGUGAGAGCACCGACGUUGAUGUGGGCUUCGACGCCAAGGACGAGUUCUGUGUAAAGGCAUUCUGGGUAAUAGUUUAUCUUCAAUUGAAGAAGGUCUUCCAUGCCACCAACUUCUUUAUCUAGUCUUUCUUGUUCUAAGCAUCUCAGUUUCUUUGCAUAGUAACUUGUUGCUGAACUGGAAAACGACAUGUUAUGAUUGGUUAGUAAAUGUGCUUUUAAGUUAAUUAAGUCUGCUAUUUUUGUGACUCAAAAUAAGCAAAUUGUGGGUUCUAAAUUAUAAUUGUG
rnacentral:lncRNA from 1 species